ensembl:snRNA U6 U6 spliceosomal RNA
GUGCUCACUUCAGCAGCUCAUACACUACAACUGGAACGAUGCAGAGAUGAUUACCAUGAUUAUCAUGGCCUCUACGCAAGGAUGACACAGAAAUUCAUCAAGCGUUCCAUAUUACA